GGGGGAUGCCUUGGCUCUCAGAGGCGAUGAAGGACGUGAUAAGCUGCGAUAAGCUACGGGGAACAGCACAUAUGUAUUGAUCCGUGGAUUUCCGAAUGGGGCAACCCAGUACCAUGAAGUGGUAUUACCCUACGGGGGGCGAACGUGGGGAACUGAAACAUCUAAGUACCCACAGGAGAAGAAAAUAACAAUGAUUCCGCAAGUAGUGGCGAGCGAACGCGGAAGAGCCCAAACCGGCCUGGUUACGGCCAGACCGGGGUUGUAGGACUCACCAAG
rnacentral:rRNA from 1 species